GAGCGCGCCGUAGAGAGGGUAUGGUGUCCAGCAACCUGCCUCGGAGACUCCCUAAUGCACCAGAGGCCUUGCUCAGCACACUGCCGACACGCUAAAAAUAUACACCAGCCUUCAAAGGGCCUUGCCUUCCCAGCACUGGCCACAGCUCCUCCUAGGCCCCACCGAAUGGCACGGGCCAGCGGAGGCCUUGGAAGUAGUCACAGGAGACAGUGCCACCGCGUGGAAAUGGCGGGAAUCGCUGCUGGUCCUCGAGGAACUCAAUAGUCUAGGGAAAGGGCCUUCUGUUCAUUCAUCCAGCAGUCACGCCCUGGGGGCCCCCUGCUGGCCGGCGCUGGCCUAGGGCUGCGAAGAUGAAAGGCCCUAUCUGUUCAGUCUAGUAGAGGGGAGGGCGACGAAGAAGGAACUGGAAAGGGACAUGCACUGCAGCAGGAGCAAGCCGAUUGUGGGAGCCCGCAGGAAGCACCAGGCAGCUCAUAAGAGGCCCUUCAACCACCAUCAUCUAUGCAGAGCAUGAACCGAACCGUGUCCAGGCACAGGAGUACAGCCUAACAAGACUGAACUUAGCACUGCAGUGAGACAGUAGGAAAAUAGCUGAACUUCCAAGAAGAGUCUCCUUGCUUUUACCUGGAGUGGCACCACCCUGGACAUCAGGUGAUCAAAAUAAAGGUCCACUGCUUCGGUGAAGCCCUUUCUCCAAAGGCCAUGAGAGAAACCCAGCAAGAGACGCUGGAGGAGCCAAGACAUUCAAGAGAGUUGGAGAGAAAGAACCUCAGCUAGGCCAACAUGGCAGAGAAGUAGGGGGACCCAUACUUCCUGCCACUCUCAAACAAAGAAGUGCAGAAGCCAAAGGACUUUGAACACCAGAGCCUGGGAGGAAAAGAGACUGAAUCUACUAGGAAGAAAAUGGGGAAGCUGGAAAGAAGAUAGGUGGGUAACUGCAAACUGGGGGAGAUAAAAAACAGCCACAUGGGCACGGAGUGGAGGCACCCCCUUCAACGGAGAGACAAAGGGAAAAGAAAGAGCGGCUAGGGAAGUGCAGGACCGUAUCUGGACAGGAGAAAGACCGGGGACUGAGACUGAGAGGGAUCCGAUCUCUAACUGCAGGGCUUUCUUUGGACUGGAGCUGGCUCUCUGUUGGUGCACCUGGAGAGGAGGGGAGCCUGGGUGUGGUGGUAGGUCAGGGGCUCAGUCCUCAGUUGGAGGAAGUGGUUCCCUCCCUGGAGGGCUAUGUGAUAUUACAGAAUCUGCCUGUGUCCGCCACUCCUGGGCACAGUGGCUGGGCCAAGGGUGCAGUCUGCAGGAGGAAAAGGCUGCCAUCUCUCUGGAGUGCUGUGGGAAAAGACAAAGCCUGCCUGUGUCUGCCACCCCGGGGGCUCAUGGCGAAGGUGGUGGCUCUUGGUCCCCAGUAGGAGAAGGCUGUCCUCCCUGAAGUGUAGGGGCACAGACAAAGCUAGCCAGGAGCACAUAUCCGCCUCACUGAGAGGCGCUUCCCCGGUGCCAGAGUGCACAGAGUGGGACUUUGAAUCCUAGUCAAGCACAGGGUCACAGGAGUUGGUGGAGCGAGAAGGACCUCCCCACCUGUGCCCUCGGCACAAUAAGGACGACUCAAACAGAGUCCAUCGGGUCCAGCUCCGUGGAGAAGAGACUGGGGGAUCACCAUUCCACACACCCCCACCACCAAGGUGGGGCCUCAGGGAUCAGUACUGGGGCCUAGAGUGGAGGUGGGUCCAUAUUAUGACAAACCAUGCCCCUUUGUGCUGGGUAACUGCGUAUCCACCACAGCAGCACAGACCCUGCAGACAGCUACUCCCGACAAGCGACACAGCAUUGCCUGGAUUAACUCUAGGUCAAUUCUGGAUAUAUAGAUAUAUUCUCCAUUCCCCACCCCCCCAUUUCUCCUCCUUAUCUCUUCCAUGCCCUAGGCUGGUUACUCUGGUUACUGUCUGUCUAAACAGACAUAUUUAAUCCAUUGUCUUGAUACAUGUUCUACACCUCCUUAUUUACACUCCUUUCUCUCUCUCUGGAAUAAUCAAGCAAUAUAGUUUCUCUGUCUGGGUAACUUUAUCUGUUUCCUUUUCCCUGCCUCCUUCUUUAUUUUCCUUUCUCUCCAUCUGGAUUAAGCCUUUUACCUCUCUGUCUAAUCAAUGUUUGUCUUUUCUCCCC